UUCUUUACUUGAGAAACUGAAGGAAAUGGCCCACUGAAGUUUCAGCAACACCUAAUUUUUAGGAAGGAGCUAACUUCAACAUGAUUGCGUGCAAUUAUGAGAGAUAAGAG
rnacentral:ncRNA from 2 species